rnacentral:rRNA from 2 species
UUGAAUUAUGUUUUCUGGGUGGGUUGUAGCUG